UGCGGUAUCAUCGCUGGUCUGGAUGGAUCAAAACCAGUCCCGUCAUGCACAAUAUCUCCCGACUUCUCCACCGGCUGUGAUAACUACAUUGUAUACCAGGUUUCUCUGGUUGGAACCGUCUAUUCUUGCGGUAUCAUCGCUGGUCUGGAUGGAUCAAAACCAGUCCCGUCAUGCACAAUAUCUCCCGACUUCUCCACCGGCUGUGAUAACUACAUUGUAUACCAGGUUUCUCUGGUUGGAACCGUCUAUUCUUGCGGUAUCAUCGCUGGUCUGGAUGGAUCAAAACCAGUCCCGUCAUGCACAAUAUCUCCCGACUUCUCCACCGGCUGUGAUAACUACAUUGUAUA